GUUGAAAAGAAUGCGUGAUUGGAAUCCAGCAAGGAUUAUUUGUGGCUGUCAAAUAAAACGUGAAACAAACAUUCUCGCCUUUUGUAUAUCUUAAAAUCUAAGGCUAGACUAAAGGCUUUGCUGGUAUUAGUAACAAGAGACAAGUAGCAGAUAAGAACAGUUUCACGCUUUAGCCAUUUACUGGUAAGCCUAUAUACCGCUAUUCGUAAUUAAACCGCGUUUUUUUUUGUUUUUGGCGGUUCGGAAUUUGCAAUUUGGAUGGGGGGGGGGGUCGAUUUUUAAUAAAUUCUAAUCGAUAUCUUAUAUAAGUAUUGCUAAUUAAAAGAUUAUCGUCGUCUGCAAGUUUUUUUUCGUUUUCGUUUGCAAGUUUCGAAAAAAAGGGAGACAAAUAAAAAGAUUUCAAAUAAAAACGAAACGAUCACUUUUUGGGACUUGGAUGCCCGAAAUGAAAUCACAAAAAUGUGGUCAUCGUCAUACAUGUCAACUUUAUUGUCGCAGCUUUCCAUUAUCUUCACUCCAUGCUGUUUGUCAGAUUUGGGGCCUGAGCCAGCCAUUGUAUUAACAGCAAAGUUUUGCUUGUGCUGAUCCUCCAGUCAUAUGAUUUGACUUUUUACCUCCUGCUGUCAGCAACAAUCACAGUAUCAUUGCUGAGAUAAACAGCAUCCUUUUAAUUGGAGAAACUUCCAGUAUCGACCGAGUUAAGAAUCUCUUCAAUUCCCCGUUCUUUUGUUUUUGUCCUCGUGUACGCCCAUGUGAAUGUGGGUGUAUUCACGAGGACUCCCUUUUACUUAUCCCUCCU